rnacentral:rRNA from 1 species
AUACGUAGGGUGCAAGCGUUAAUCGGAAUUACUGGGCGUAAAGCGUGCGCAGGCGGUUUUGUAAGACAGUGGUGAAAUCCCCGGGCUCAACCUGGGAACUGCCAUUGUGACUUCAAGGCUGGAGUGCGGCAGAGGGGGAUGGAAUUCCGCGUGUAGCAGUGAAAUGCGUAGAUAUGCGGAGGAACACCGAUGGCGAAGGCAAUCCCCUGGGCCUGCACUGACGCUCAUGCACGAAAGCGUGGGGAGCAAACAGGAUUAGAUACCCUGGUAGUCCACGCCCUAAACGAUGUCAACUGGUUGUUGGGGAUUUAUUUUCUCAGUAACGAAGCUAACGCGUGAAGUUGACCGCCUGGGGAGUACGGCCGCAAGGUUAAAACUCAAAGGAAUUGACGGGG